rnacentral:lncRNA from 1 species
GUAGGCUGCAGCUCUUGAAUUCUAAAAGGAAUUCAAUUUUAGCUCAAAUAACAUAUUGAGCUGCUUGAAUAACAAAGUUCCAUAAUUCUCAUCAGAAGAGUGAUUAACUUAUAUCAACAAAACUCACACACAUAGACACACACACACAAACACAUUUACAUUUUUUAAGGUAGAAUUGAAUAUGGCGAAGCCUGAAUUGAAGGUUCUUUUUUUUUGAGAUGGAGUCUAGCUCUGUUGCCCAGGCUGCAGUGCAGUGGCACAAUCUCAGCUCACUGCAACCUCCGUCCCCGGGUUCAAGAAAUUCUUCUGCCUCAGCCUCCCGAGUAGCUGGGAUUACAGGCAUGUGCCACCAGGCCCGGCUAAUUUUUGUAUUUUUAGUAGAGAUAGGGUUUCACCAUGUUGGCCAGGCUGGUCUCAAACUCCUGACCUCAAAUGAUCCCCCUACUUCAGCCUCCCACACUGUUGGGAUUAUAGGCAUGAGCCAUUUGUGCCCAGCCUGAAGGUUCAUUUUUUUUUUUCUUUUCUUCUCUUUAUGAGAUGGAGUCUCGCUCUGUUGCCGAGGCUGGAGUGCAGUGGUAUGAUCUUGGAUCACUGCAACCUCCACCUCCUGGGUUCAAGCGAUUCUCCUGCUUCAGCCUCCUGAGUAGCUGGGACUACAGAUGUGCACCACCAGGCCCAGAUAAUUUUUGUAUUUUUAUUAGAGACGGGGUUUCGUCAUGUUGGCCAGACUGGUCUUGAACUCCUGACCUCAGGUGAUCCACCUGCCUUGGCCUCCCAAAGUGCUGGGAUUACAGGCUUGAGCCAC